UUCACAGUCUGGGACUGAUAAAAAUUUAACAGUUUUAAGUCCUAACAACCUAAAAGCUAUUAAGGUAGCAGCUGAGUAUUAUAGGCAGUUCCGAGUAAGGUGUUUUUGUUGUUGUUGCAAAGUCAGAAUAUUCAAGUCUAAUAUGAGUUCAAAAUUUUCAUGCAUCUAGGCAACCCUUUGGGUAUUGCUCCAAGGGCUCCUAUAACUAUUGGUACAAUCAUUGAUUUCUUCCUCCACAAUCGCUUAACUUCAAUUUGCACAUCAUGAUAUUUUGUUAUUUUUUCUAGUUGUUUCUCUUCAAAUCGUGCAUCACCUGAUAUUGCAAUAUCAAUGAACCAGACUUUUUUUCCCCACAGUAGUGAUGUCAGCUGCGUUGUGGGCCAGAUGUCUGCCUGUUUGGAUCCCACAAGAUCUUGACCUGUUUGUUUUCAAGAACUUUAUCAACUUGGUGUCCCCAGUAAUUUUUGUUGCAUUCAAACCCAAACUUCUGGCAAAGUUAACAAUGCAUAAUUUUGGCAACUUGAUCAUGACAUUGUAGAUAAUUAUUAUUUUCUUUAUCUUGUCCUAUUGAAACCAGCCUGCUUAGGAUUUAAAAAACAUGAAGCAAUUUACAUGUCAUUUCCUUGAGCAAGUUUAUAUGCCCUAAUUUAAAUUUUGCAUUACAGAUGUGAGGAAAGGAACCCAAAUCCAAACAAUUUAUUUCAAUAGCUUUAAUGUACAAACAAAAAACCAGCAACCUACGAGUGCUGUACUGUACAUGGAACAAUGGCUUUCCAUCUAUAUAUCUUCACGGUGGAAAAUCAGGGGCAAGUCAAACAUGUUGGAUGAAAAGGGUGUGAUCAGAUGCAUCUCCCAGAAAGACAGCCUCCUAUUUUCUCUAAAUAUCCAGGUCACACCAGCCAUGGACCCAUCAGUGGAAUCCAUGCUGUUAGACCUCUAUCUUCUAUUGGAUGGCCACCAUGGAGAUACAAGAUGAAGAUGUUUCUGAGUGGAGAAGUUGGUGGAGGAGGACUUUGGCCUGACGCUCAGAGGCCUCCUUCGGCAGUCUUCCACCUCAGUGCAUUUCAUUUUUAUUUUGAAGUUCCACAGUACUUGCACCCACAUGGGAAACUUCUUGCCGGUGCUGAACCAGCUCUUCUACUGUGGGAAUCAUCAUCCCAGGAUCGAUGUACGCAGGAAAACUAAACUAACAAGAAUUGCAGCCUUUGAGUCCCCCACAGCUCUUGGGACCCCACCCUCAAAUAACUACUCCCUUGGAACCAAAGUGUGUUUGUGUGUGGGGAGAAGCUUGAUGAAGUCCAGCAGGCUUUCCCAGAUGUUCCUGGGGAAAUCUGGCAGGUUGGAACGACCUACAAAAAGAUCAAUGAAGAUCAUUGGAAGAAUGGACCUCUGUACUAUGAAGUUCUUUGAGUUUCAAAGAUGGCACUGAGACUGUGUGUCUUGUGUGGCAGAUGCCAACUAUGGUAUAAUCGGUUUUAAUAUGCUGCAGCAGGUUCUUGAGAUUCCGAGAACGUUGUCGGCAAAAGUCUUCCAAUGCUGUUUGGGGACAAAGAAAAGAAAGGCCAGGCCAGCAAGUCCUUCAAACUCUACAUUGAAGGACACAGGCAAUCUUUCUGGCCGAAGAAAGACAAAAAUUAUAUCACAAAGUGGAACAGCAUGACUGCAUGCAGAAGAAAAAGAAGGAUAUCUUCAUCCAAGCAAAAAGAAUGAAGAAGGCUGAGCAGUGAUGUGGACCAUAGGGACAUUGCCACUGGGUAAAGAAAAUCUGUUUGCAGUGCUCAGCAACUGAGAAGGGAGAAGCCUUUCAGAAAGUCACUCACACCCUGGUCACCUUGCAGCUUGAUUGGUAUAACACACUUCACAUCGGACUGCCCUUGAAUAGCACCCAGAAGCUUCAUUUGGACCAUAGCCAUUUACGACUUUUUCAGCUGGGUCACCAAAUCAAAGGAAAGAUUUUUCACAUGAGGUGGAGAGAAGAGAGGGUAGUUUGACCUCCCCAUUUCUUCUGGCAGUUGGCCCAUCUUAUACUAAGUCAGACCACUUCAUUUUUAUUUUGAAAGUAAAAUGAUAGAAGGAGAUGCAACCAUUUGCAUGUCAAAACUCCUGUUAACUGUCCCACUGUCAAACUAUCCACAAUAACUGCAUAUUGUGAGGACACACAUCAAGUGCCAUAAGAAUAUGGCUUGUCACAAAAGUUGUUUUUCUCCCGGCAGGGAUCUCUUCCUAAAGAUGUGUAUUCAACUAAUGUUUCAAGGCCAGAAUUGCAGAGGAAAGGGGACCAGGAUCUAGAGUUCUUUUCUGGACGCAACUAUUACGUAUCCCAUGGACUACAAAAAUAACAAACAAGUCCUCACCCAAAAUACCACUUGAAGCCAAGAUCACCAAACAGAUGCUGAAAAUACUUUGGUCAUGUCAUGAAAGCGGACUCACUCAAAAAGUCAACCAGGCUGGAGUGAUCAGCCGAAAAAAGAGAGGGGGCCAUCCUAGCACCCCUGGCUAGACAGUAUAAAAGAUGACACUGAGAUGACCAUAGCAGAUCUGAAGGAGGCAGUGCAAGACAGAGAGGCAUGGAGAAUGGUGACCCUUAGAGCAGUGAAAAGUCAGACAUGACUGAAUGGCUGACGAUGACGGAAUUCUUUGCUGAAAUAUGCAUCCCAAAGCUUUCUCCUUCUAAGAGGCUGGAUUUUAAGAAUAGUGGAGCAAUAUUAGAGGCACAGGAUGGUUCCAAUGGUGGAGAGAAGACUUUAUUAUCAAUUGCAUGCCUAUGUUUUGGCAAUGACAUUCUUGAUUCUAAAAAAUGAGGAAAUGUCCUUUUUCAGUUCACUUCGAGCCACACAAAUGGAGAUUGUUCUCUGCUGUAUUGAACCAGCUCCUCUACUGUGGGAACCAUCAUCCUAGGAUCAAUCUCGAUGAAGUCCAGCAGGCAUUUCCAGAAGUUCCCAGGAAAAUCUGGCAUGCUGCUAAGGCGUAUGCUUACAUUAAUGAAGAAGAAAAAGCAAUUGUGACCCAAGGAGAAGACACCACACAGCCUCCCUGACCUAUCAGUGUCCAGGAACAAGAACCUAUAUAGUCUUGUGAUGGUGACUAACAGCAGAGAAUCUGUGACCUCCUUCCCGCCCCUAUUUAAGCAGCUAAGGUGGAGAAUCAAAAUUCAAUCUAGACAGCAGCUGGGAAUGGACACGUGUUGCAUUUAUGCUAUUUGCUUUCUUCUCUGAAAUACUGUUUCUUUACAUAGAUAUGCACAAUCAUUUGUGCUACGUUUUCAGUAUCCUUGAAAACAUUAGUCAAGUUUUCUCUACUUUUUCAAUAUUGUAUUGAUAUGUAUUAUACAGAAGUGUUUACUGGAGUUUGGAUAACCAUUUUGUUAUCCUCACUACUUAAGGGUUAUUUUAUUUAUAAACAAUGUAGAAAUAUCUUACAAGAAGCAAUAUGUAAUAAAUAAACUGAAAAUUGCAUUUAAAAAACUGUAUGCUUGACUACAUUUGACUACCAUGGUGGCCU